AUUUUUCUUAGAUUCUUAAUGGGUUUCUGGUGAACAUAUCUGGUUUUGGUGUGUUUUGGCCACUUUGCUGUAACUUUCACACUUUCAAAAAUUGGGAAGGACAAAGGG
rnacentral:lncRNA from 12 species